GAAAGUGUGGUAUAGUGGUUUGAACAUUGGACUUCAACUCAGGAGACCUUGGUUCAAAUCCCCACUCUGUCA